rnacentral:lncRNA from 1 species
CGAGAGAGUGGUCCCUGUUGUUGGUGGCCAUUCGUAUGAGGCUGGUCAGCCGACAGGCCUCGCCCUCGCGCCGCCGAGUUAUGGCGCAUAAAGUGCGCGUCCACGAAGCAAGACCAAUCAAAAAGACAAAGACAAAAAAGCCCAUGGCAGCGAUCAAAGGGCGCCCGAUCCGACGAAAAAAAUCUCGGCGCAUGUUUUUUGUUGUUGCGCAGAGGACAAUGGGCGGGCGCAGACCUGGAUGUGACCCUGAACCGCCAUGGCCCCCGCGCGGGACGGCCCAGAGGCACGCGAUUCCGCGCUGAGGGAACAUUUCUUUGUGCAGAAAAAAACAGCGAACCCGUGCCACCUCGUGUCGGCUUUGGCGCAGAUCAAACCGUCUGCCGACGAAUUUGCGUCCACGCAACCGCCAGGCGGCUCCAUGGCGAUCGGCUCGACCGACAGGCCCGCAAACGGCGGGCAAGCAUCUCCCCCCUCUCCCCCACCCCCCACAGAGUUAUCUUUUCUUUCGAAAAAUAAAAGAAAAAAGCCUCGCGCUGCAC